rnacentral:rRNA from 1 species
UACGUAGGGGGCAAGCGUUGUCCGGAAUCAUUGGGCGUAAAGCGCGCGUAGGCGGCCCGGUAAGUCCGCUGUGAAAGUCAAAGGCUCAACCUUUGAAUGUCAGCGGAUACUGCCGGGCUAGAGUCCGGAAGAGGCGAGUGGAACUCCUGGUGUAGCGGUGGAAUGCGCAGAUAUCAGGAGGAACACCGGUGGCGAAGGCGGUUCUCUGGGAAUGUCCUGACGCUGAGGAGCGAAAGUGUGGGGAGCGAACAGG